GACGAACGCUGGCGGCGUGCCUAAUACAUGCAAGUCGAACGAACUCUGGUAAUGAUUGGUGCUUGCAUCAUGAAUUACAUUUGAGUGAGUGGCGAACUGGUGAGUAACACGUGGGAAACCUGCCCAGAAGCGGGGGAUAACACCUGGAAACAGAUGCUAAUACCGCAUAACAACUUGGACCGCAUGGUCCGAGUUUGAAAGAUGGCUUCGGCUGUCACUUUUGGAUGUCCCCGCGGCGUAUUAGCUAGAUGGUGAGGUAACGGCUCACCAUGGCAAUGAUACGUAGCCGACCUGAGAGGGUAAUCGGCCACAUUGGGACUGAGACACGGCCCAAACUCCUACGGGAGGCAGCAGUAGGGAAUCUUCCACAAUGGACGAAAGUCUGAUGGAGCAACGCCGCGUGAGUGAAGAAGGGUUUCGGCUCGUAAAACUCUGUUGUUAAAGAAGAACAUAUCUGAGAGUAACUGUUCAGGUAUUGACGGUAUUUAACCAGAAAGCCACGGCUAACUACGUGCCAGCAGCCGCCGUAA
rnacentral:rRNA from 1 species